rnacentral:rRNA from 1 species
AGAGUUUGAUCAUGGCUCAGAUUGAACGCUGGCGGCAGGCCUAACACAUGCAAGUCGAACGGUAACAGGAAGCAGCUUGCUGCUUUGCUGACGAGUGGCGGACGGGUGAGUAAUGUCUGGGAAACUGCCUGAUGGAGGGGGAUAACUACUGGAAACGGUAGCUAAUACCGCAUAACGUCGCAAGACCAAAGAGGGGGACCUUCGGGCCUCUUGCCAUCGGAUGUGCCCAGAUGGGAUUAGCUUGUUGGUGGGGUAACGGCUCACCAAGGCGACGAUCCCUAGCUGGUCUGAGAGGAUGACCAGCCACACUGGAACUGAGACACGGUCCAGACUCCUACGGGAGGCAGCAGUGGGGAAUAUUGCACAAUGGGCGCAAGCCUGAUGCAGCCAUGCCGCGUGUAUGAAGAAGGCCUUCGGGUUGUAAAGUACUUUCAGCGGGGAGGAAGGGAGUAAAGUUAAUACCUUUGCUCAUUGACGUUACCCGCAGAAGAAGCACCGGCUAACUCCGUGCCAGCAGCCGCGGUAAUACGGAGGGUGCAAGCGUUAAUCGGAAUUACUGGGCGUAAAGCGCACGCAGGCGGUUUGUUAAGUCAGAUGUGAAAUCCCCGGGCUCAACCUGGGAACUGCAUCUGAUACUGGCAAGCUUGAGUCUCGUAGAGGGGGGUAGAAUUCCAGGUGUAGCGGUGAAAUGCGUAGAGAUCUGGAGGAAUACCGGUGGCGAAGGCGGCCCCCUGGACAAAGACUGACGCUCAGGUGCGAAAGCGUGGGGAGCAAACAGGAUUAGAUACCCUGGUAGUCCACGCCGUAAACGAUGUCGACUUGGAGGUUGUGCCCUUGAGGCGUGGCUUCCGGAGCUAACGCGUUAAGUCGACCGCCUGGGGAGUACGGCCGCAAGGUUAAAACUCAAAUGAAUUGACGGGGGCCCGCACAAGCGGUGGAGCAUGUGGUUUAAUUCGAUGCAACGCGAAGAACCUUACCUGGUCUUGACAUCCACGGAAGUUUUCAGAGAUGAGAAUGUGCCUUCGGGAACCGUGAGACAGGUGCUGCAUGGCUGUCGUCAGCUCGUGUUGUGAAAUGUUGGGUUAAGUCCCGCAACGAGCGCAACCCUUAUCCUUUGUUGCCAGCGGUCCGGCCGGGAACUCAAAGGAGACUGCCAGUGAUAAACUGGAGGAAGGUGGGGAUGACGUCAAGUCAUCAUGGCCCUUACGACCAGGGCUACACACGUGCUACAAUGGCGCAUACAAAGAGAAGCGACCUCGCGAGAGCAAGCGGACCUCAUAAAGUGCGUCGUAGUCCGGAUUGGAGUCUGCAACUCGACUCCAUGAAGUCGGAAUCGCUAGUAAUCGUGGAUCAGAAUGCCACGGUGAAUACGUUCCCGGGCCUUGUACACACCGCCCGUCACACCAUGGGAGUGGGUUGCAAAAGAAGUAGGUAGCUUAACCUUCGGGAGGGCGCUUACCACUUUGUGAUUCAUGACUGGGGUGAAGUCGUAACAAGGUAACCGUAGGGGAACCUGCGGUUGGAUCACCU